AGUGAACGCUGGCGGCGUGCUUAACACAUGCAAGUCGAACGAGAACGGGAUAUAGCUUGCUAUAUUUGUCAGCUAAGUGGCGCACGGGUGAGUAAUGUAUAGAUAGCCUGCCCUCUAGAAAGGAAUAACAGUUGGAAACGACUGCUAAUGCCCUAUAUGCCUUUAAUACAUAAGUAUGCAAGGGAAACGCUUUAGUGCUAGAGGAUGGGUCUGUAUGGUAUCAGCUUGUUGGUGAGGUAAUGGCUCACCAAGGCUAUGACGCCUAACUGGUUUGAGAGGAUGAUCAGUCACAGUGGAACUGAGACACGGUCCAGACUCCUACGGGAGGCAGCAGUGGGGAAUAUUGCACAAUGGACGAAAGUCUGAUGCAGCAACGCCGCGUGGAGGAUGACACAUUUCGGUGCGUAAACUCCUUUUAUAUAGGAAGAUAAUGACGGUACUAUAUGAAUAAGCACCGGCUAACUCCGUGCCAGCAGCCGCAGUAA
rnacentral:rRNA from 1 species